rnacentral:rRNA from 1 species
ACGGGAGGCAGCAGUCGGGAAUAUUGCGCAAUGGAGGAAACUCUGACGCAGUGACGCCGCGUAUAGGAUGGAGGUUUUCGGAUUGUAAACUAUAGUCGUUAGGGAAGAUAAAAGACAGUACCUAAGGAGGAAGCUCCGGCUAACUACGUGCCAGCAGCCGCGGUAAUACGUAGGGAGCAAGCGUUAUCCGGACUUAUUGGGUGUAAAGGGUGCGUAGACGGGAAAUUAAGUUAGUUGUGAAAGCCCUCGGCUUAACUGAGGAACUGCAACUAAAACUGGUUUUCUUGAGUGCGGGAGAGGAAAGUGGAAUUCCUAGUGUAGCGGUGAAAUGCGUAGCUAUUAGGAGGAACACCAGUGGCGAAGGCGACUUUCUGGACCGUAACUGACGUUGAGGCACGAAGGUGUGGGGGGCAAACAGGAUUAGAUACCCUGGUA